CCCGACCGUUGCUGCUACCUUGAAGUGGUGGUCGGGCUUGCCUAUCAUGAUGAACCAAUCGAGUUAUACUUGUUGGAACAAUCAAGGUCCUACCAUGCCAGGCAGGUCGGUUGAACAGCGGUAAGACUAAAAGCAGC
rnacentral:ribozyme from 1 species